AAAUUCCUUCAUUGAGGGGUACUUGGUGCCUUUAGCCAUACAAGGGUUAUUCUUGUCAUACAAUAUAACAAGUUCACCUGGGAUUGCAUCAUCAACAGGUAUGGCUGCACCCUCAGUGCCCUCAAUAAAUGCAUUACCACUUGUCUCAGCAGCCCCAUUUGAUUCAUCAACUUGUGCAGACUUCUUUGCCCUUUCAUCUUCAUUUGUUAAGCCUAGAAGCACAAAUAAUUGGUCAUCACUUAUGACCUGAA
rnacentral:lncRNA from 1 species